CUCAUACGAAAGACGACGGAUUGAUAGGUGCGCCGCGCCGAUAGCGAAGGAGCAUCGGCGGCAAGAGUCUGCAGCUCGUCGAUUCCCUCCCCCCUCCCCGCAUCUCCUUUGAGAAUUCCUCUCUUUUUUUCUGUACGCUAAUCACUUGACAAGCGGUUCGGGCCAUGUUCGCCGUUGUGCCGACAGCGGCUGCGGCACCAACGGAGGCGGCCCUGCACUCGCUUGCUGACUCUGCCAAGCCCGUCGCGGAUGCUUUGCGUCCGUUUUUGGAAGCAUCUCCAUCAGCCACGGCCUCGCUGAUGCCGCUGUACACGAUCAAAAAGGUAGCGUCCUGCAAAGCCGUCUACUCUGCUUUGCUCCGCAGCGAUGGCGUGCUGCUGCUUCUCUCACAUCCUGCCGCCGACGGCGCAGCAAGCAGCGCACACGUCUCGGUCCUGGAGAGCGGCGGGGAGGCUGUUGUCGAUGUUGCAGCUGGAGAGUCGCACAUUGUUUACUGCACUGUUUCAGGGGCUGUUUACAGCUGCGGCUACGACAACACGUACGGCCAGCUCGGAGACGGCUCUGUGUGGUCGUCCAACGAUGCCGCUGACAGUCUCGCUGAUGAGCAAAACGUUGGAGGCGUGAGGGAGCUAGUGCUGAGCGCGCCCAGGCGGAUUGCCGGAUUCGGAGAGGGCGCACUGACAGACGGCGCGCAUAGGGGACACCUCAGCAACGAGGACACAGGUACACCGCUGAGCAGUCUGAAGGAUUACCGGGUUGCUAUCGACUUGGCACCCCUAUCGUCAUCUCUCUCUUCCUGCACCCGAUCGCUCACUGCUGCUGCAAAGAGCACGUCGACUGGUGACUCGGCCGCUUCAUGGCGGCACGUGCCACCUCCGGCUGACCGGCACAUUAAGCAGGUUGCGUGCGGCGCCCACCACACGCUCAUGCUCACUCGGUCUGGUCGCUGCGUCUACGCGUGUGGAACCGGCGCGCACGGCCAGCUUGGUGGAUCGCGCCCGGUGCUCGUGCAGUCCACAUUUCGCGCUAUUAAGCUGCUGUUCGGGGUAGAUAUGGCACAGGUGGCUGCAGGAGACGCACACAGCUUCGUGCUGCUCCGCAACGGGCUGCUUUACGCCUUUGGGGACAACACAUGUGGCCAAUUGGGUCUGGGACACACAAAGUGUGUCAGCCGUCCCACCACGGUGCCACUCACUAAAAAGGAAGAGUAUGAGGCGUCCAUGCCGCAGGAUCACGCUGCAGCGACCACAAAGGGUCACCGGCAUCUGGACGCCAAGGCCUACGCGACGUUGCGGGCACCCUACGCCUCUACGGAGAGCACCUACUACCCGUUGCGAGUACCACGUCUUCAAGACAAUGGAAAGCCGCAUGCCAUCACGGGCGACGACAACCGCGACAGCGGUGCAGCCUUCACCACAGUAAUCAAGUACGAUGCCCAUUCCCAUGAGCUCGACGCGUCGAACUCAAGCUUUAGAGUAGUGCGCGUCUACUGCUGUGUCUCGUGGACGCUGCUGGAGACCACGAACCCCGGCGUGUGGCUUUCAUGCGGGGUCCCACUGACGCGUGGCGUGAACCGGGCCGACGUGGCCACGACUGCGGCGCGCAUAGAUGGAUGUGGGGUGCUGGGUCGGCCGCUUCUGCGCAACAAGGCCGAAGCCUAUGUCUUUCAGCCCGUUAACUGGGCUGCGACCCUGUUCAGUAUGCGGCAGAAUGUUGACGCAGCCACUGAUGCCCUCGCAGCACCACCGACAUGGGUGGGAAAUGAGCAGCAGGUUUUCAGUGCCGACCCAUCCCACGGCGCCGGGGAGGGCACUUCUGAUGCGCUACAGCUACCGGGUGUGCAAAUCCAUCACCGCGCGCCUUGCUCCAUCUCAGGCGAAGGCGACUCUUCCUCGUGCACUCCCGUAGUCACCACUGCACCGGCUGCGGGGCAUUGCAACACUCCCGACAGCCGUAUCAGCAGCGACACCGUGCCUAGGUUCUCUCACCCGAACAAGGGUAUAGAAAAUGCGAUCUUGCGCGUCAGCGACACUCUCGUCAGUGCGUACCCGACAUCACUGCUUGUGGCUUUCUCGAGUGCCAAUGCCGGGGACGUAGGCCGUGAUGGUGCUGUUACUAGCAUGCUCAUCCAGAGCGGGAGCCCGGCAGUUGUGGCAUUGGAGGUGCGGCAGGACAGCUCCUCUGUGCACGAGGUGUGGGGAAGUCCCACCCAUGCCAGCAUGGGUGGGCCGCUGACUGCCGAGUCUAGCGGAACCUCCGUAUUGCAAGUGAAUUCCACUCAUGGUGCUGUGAUACCGCUGCCUUCCUAUGUUCUUGUGAUUUAGCGUCUCCAGGCUGUCGAUAAGGGCCUCCGACCCCACAUGUUUCUUGGUGGUGGUGAUGGUUGGGUGUGUGAGUGAGCAGAGGUGGCUGCCAGUGCACAUACGUGCGUAUGCCUGCAUAUACGGUGCCCCUCUUUACACGCGAUGUAAAUCAAGCUGACAGAACAGACGCAUGUAUAUUCGUUACUGAGUAUUUCGUCGAUCAUCUCUCGGUUGUCUUGGUCUGAAGGGGGCGAGGGGAAGGGAGACGAUGGGGCCAGCGACAGUGUACUGCAUUUUCUUUGCUUCCCCUCUGUUUCGCUUUGGAUGACUACUCUUGUCGCAUGCGUGCGUGUGCUGGUAUGGGCCCCACCCUUUGACCGGCGGGGAGGUUGCUCCGCGGAUCUCCCCAAAGACGCAAACUCAGAAUAAACAUCUAAGCUAAAUCAAGACGAAGAGCUGUGACGGGCUGGUUUCUUGCAGCUGAGCUUGGAGGCGAGACCACUGGCGCUGCCGUUCUUCAGAGGUGCUGCAUUGCAGCGACAAGGAGGAACAACUACUGUGUCCGUCCUCUGCUGCAUACGCCACCAGUGAGGUUCAGUGCAAAGUCGCGGUGUUUCUUUCAGCCUAUCGGAGUGGACCACGGCACGCCUCACGCGCUUCUCCUUCUCGCGUUACAGUACAAGGAAAGGCGACGUGCCACAAGGACGAGCGGCGUCGGUAUCUCGUCGUUCCGCAUUCCCC
rnacentral:misc_RNA from 1 species